GACAGAGGGUGCAAACGUUUGUUCGGAAUUACUGGGCGUAAAGCGCGUGUAGGCGGUUCGGAAAGUCGGAUGUGAAAGCCCUGGGCUCAACCCAGGAAGUGCACUCGAAACUCCCGAACUGGAGUCCUGGAGAGGAAGGCGGAAUUCUCGGUGUAGAGGUGAAAUUCGUAGAUAUCGGGAGGAACACCAGUGGCGAAGGCGGCGAUCUGGGAAGAUACUGACGCUGAGGUGCGAAAGCGUGGGGGAGCAAACAGG
rnacentral:rRNA from 1 species